UUCUCGCGGGCCACGUCAGGCUGCCUUGCUAACUUGGGGCUUUCCCCUUGUCUCCCAUCUGUGUUCAGGGUCCAGGAUGACGACCCGACACCAGGGCCAGCAGUACAGGCCCAGGAUGGCAUUUCUUCAAAAGAUAAACCGGUGCCCACACCUGGGCCCUGGCAGGUGGGCGGGGUCCGAGUCUGGGGAGAGGGAGCCAGGACAUUCUGUGCAGAAGGGGCGGGCAGCCCUGCGGGGCGGUCUCGGGGUUCCAUCGUAUUGACUAUAUGUGUUUCAAUAAUAUUUUUAAAAAUGUAUUUAUUUAGGUUUCCAAUCUGCUUCUGGAUCCUGAAGGAAGAAUCAGCACUGCAUGGGCAGAAUGUGGGAGGGGCAGAGCCUGCCCCCAGGAGCAAGGGGCAGACACCCGUUCAGCCGGGCCCCUGGCUGCUCUGAGUCACAUAAGGAACCCAGUCACCCACGUGUCAAUUUCGCAGCUUCUAUAGGUUGCCAUUUCUGGAUCUGAAGUGUGAUAUUUGAAAGUAAAAACUUAUCCCACACACAGAGACCACAACAUGCCCGCAGCUCCAAAGGCAGUGGUCACUGUCUCCUGUCGCUUGGAUCCCUUGGUUGGGUUUGGGGCUAAAUGUCAGGGGUUCUUGGUGCCAACCUCGUUCUGCACCAUUUCCUCUCAGUCAGCCAGUCAGCCGUCCACGUGUACAAAUACUGUGCUGAGCAUUGUUCAUGUUCUGGGGACACAUGGUGAUCAUGACAGGAGCAACCCUGCACUCGAUGAACCCAGAGGCUAAGGGACCCAUCCAAGGGCAGCUUCAGGGUGUCCAGCCUGGGGCAAUGUGGGUGGACUGAGGGCUAGACCCACCACAAGGAAUCUUGUGGUGUCCUAGUCCAGACAAGCCAAGCUCUCUCCGUCCAAUGGCAGAGCCGGAGGUAGGCCAUAUAGAUGCUGUUGGCUUCCCACCCCAAACCAAGGACUUCAGCUUCAAGCUCCUGAACCUCUUGACCAGGAGGGUUACUCUGGCACUGUGAACAUGACUGGCACUUAUGUGACCUGAGUAGAUGCCCCAUGAGCAGCCUGCAGAUGACACUGAAGGACCUUGCUAAGUAGCUGAAACUGGCUUCAAACUUGUGAUCCUCCUGCUUCAGCCUCCCAAGUCACUGGGACUACAGAAAUCAGGAAUGCAUGGGAUGGAAUGAGAGGAGCUGCAGGUGGUACCAGCCCAGAUUGCUGAGUCACUACAUCAAAGGAGGAACCUGGGCAUUGCUCAACUUGAGUUAGUACAGAAGCACCAGUAAAAGACACGCAGAACCAGAAAUGGGAAUCAAAAUGCAAAGCCAGGAAAUCAGAGGCCUUCUACAACCUACCAGGUGGAGUAGCUCAUGGUCCAGGUGAGGUCUGCAAUAGGCUAUAGUUUUCUCCUACAAAUUAAUUCCUUCUGCUGGGACAGAACUCUAAAAGGGAGGAAGAUAUUAGAUCUACCGCUUCAAACCACUUUCCCUGAAGUCAUUGUUUUUAUGUAUGUAUCCAGAUGAUUUUAUGAUUUUGUUUUUUUCCACUAUUGUGAUAAAUUACUUUGAUUGAUUUUUAGAAUAUUAAAUCACCCUUGCAUUCCUGGAAUAAACUCUAUAGAUGGAAGCUUGGUUUUAUUUGCUAGAUUUUGCAUCUAUACUCACUAACAAAAAAAAUUUUUUUUCUCUUCUCCUGACACCACCCACCAGUUUUUGGAUCCUACAACACCAACUAGGCAUCCUAUAUUUCCAUCCAAUUUUGACACUAACUCCCCAGAGUCAGCAUCAGUUCCAACAGAUUGAAGGGCUCAGUCCCACAAGACUGCCACCACUUCAGAUGCCAGUCACAAGUCCUGGACCACUUGUACUUCUGAGCAACGGGCGAUAAAUCAGGGAGUCCCAUGACUUCUUUUCAGGUUCGAUCAUUUGCUGGAACAACUCACAGGACUCAGGAAAGUGCUUUUCUUAAUGUUACUGGUUUAUCAUAAGAAUACAACUCAGAAAUAGCUGAAUUGAAGAGAUACAGAGGGCAAAGUAUGGGGGAAGGGGCACAGAGCUUCUGUGCCCUCUCUGGGUCCAUCGCCCUCCCAGCACCUUGAUAUGUUCACUAACCUGGAAACUUCCUGAGCCCCUUUAUUUAGGGGCUUUUAUGGAGGUGCCAUUACACAGCCAUGAAUAAUUAAAUCACAGCCAGUGGCGACUCACUCAGCCUCCAACCCUUCACCUUUCUCUCCUCCCUGGAGGUUGUGGAGGAGCCUGAAAACUCCAACUGUCUAAGCACGCCUAGGUUGUUCUGGUGACCCCCAUGUCCCAUCCUGAUGCUACCCAGAGGCCUCUCAUUAGCGUACAGAAGACACUCUUGUCUGUGAAGAUUCCAAGAGCUUGGGGAGUUCUUAGAACCAAGAGGGACUAAGGACAAAGACCAACUAUUUUUUUUUGUUAUACCACAAUGAUUGAGACUGGUCUAUGAUUUUUUCCUUUGUGCAGUAUCCUAGUCCAGUUUCUUUCUUCUUUUUUUCCUAUAGAGGUUAUAUUGGCCAUAUAAAAAGAGUUGGGAAGGGUACAUGGAUUUUUCUGUUUUCUGGAAGAGUUUGUGCAAGAUUGUUAUUCUUUAAAUAUUUGAAAGAAUUAAUUGAUGAAGCCAUCAAGUUGUCAAAUAAUAGAUUCAAUUUAUUUAUUGCAUAUUGGAUAUUCUGAUUUUCUUUUCUUUUUCUAGUCCAUUUUGGAAAGCUGCAUUUCUCAAUGAAUUUGUCCAUUUCAUUCAAACUGCCAAAACAAACAAACAAUAAAGUUUUUAUUUUUUGA